GGAUCUGGCCAGACAGCCGUCCUUGUACAAGAGUCUACAUCAGUUUUUGCAGGAGAGGAACAAGGAACAUUUCAUCAGUUUCGUCCAGUGUCAGAAGUCUGUCAAUGAUGCUCGGAAUUUAGAGCAGUCUGUUUCCAUGGUGAAGUCACGCAUUGAGAAGAAACUAUUCCACAAGCAUUUCUCACAGAAGUCCACAGACCUGAAACUGGCCAGAUUUAUAUGAUCGUGCACGUGAGAGUGACAGUCAUCUGCUGCGACAGAUGUUACCACGGUUACAGGAGAAGAUUUCCCGCACCAUUCAAGCCCUAGACAACUGUACACGUGCCAGGCGGGCAGCAGACGACUGAGGCCACAGGCAACUAUUUAAAGUAAGCCAGGGGCAGCUGUUGGGAUCUGCAUCAUACUUUCAAGUCUCUGUGCAAAAGAAUAGUAAGUUGCUGUUCGGGACAUUUAAGUUAGGUCACCAACGGUCUACUGGACAGCAAAAUUCAUCUCUUCCAAAGGAUGUCAUAGCUUUCCAGGUGCUCUGUGUUGUGUUUGGGUAGAAUUGCGAGUGGUACCACCAGUCACCUAAGCCACCUUUCCCCUCACAGACAAGAGGCUCAUGGGGACAGUCCCUGCAGUUUACAGCAAAGCUCUCAAUUAUAGCCUUACAAACUUCAGAUUUACACCCUCCUCUUGCAGAUACUGUGGAUGAUGUAGAUCCAGUGCACCGGGCCAGUUUUCCAGCCAUGUGGAAUUGACAUCUCCAGCUGAACAAGAGCCAGGAUUAUUAUCAGACUCCUUUACAGCAAGUUUAACUUCUGCCUAUCUGU